rnacentral:rRNA from 1 species
CCUACGGGUGGCAGCAGUGAGGAAUAUUGGUCAAUGGGCGCGAGCCUGAACCAGCCAAGUAGCGUGAAGGAUGACUGCCCUACGGGUUGUAAACUUCUUUAUAAAGGAAUAAAGUGAGGCACGUGUGCCUUUUUGUAUGUACUUUAUGAAUAAGGAUCGGCUAACUCCGGGCCAGCAGCCGCGGUAAUACGGAGGAUCCGAGCGUUAUCCGGAUUUAUUGGGUUUAAAGGGGGCGUAGAUGGGUUGUUAAAGUCGUUGUGAAAAUUUGGGGGUCAAACGUAAAAUUGCAAUUGAUACUGGCAGCCUUGAGUACAGUUGAGGUAGGCGGAAUUCGUGGUGUAGCGGUGAAAUGCUUAGAUAUCACGAAGAACUCCGAUUGCGAAGGCAGCUUACUAAACUGCCACUGACAUUGAUGCUCGAAAGUGUGGGUAUCAAACAGGAUUAGAUACCCUAGUAGUC